CGCCCAGUAGGCCUCCUCCUCGUCGUCGUCCUCGUCCCGCGGCUGGCGGCUCAGCUCCGGCAAGCAGUCCCGGUCGGCCUGGGAGGGGUACACCUGCCGGCGCUGGGGGAGUGAUAAAUAGAAAGAGAAGGAGAGACUCUGAUAGCAGUGCUCUACUGCUCCUUUGGCUUCUGCCCUGCAGGCCAAAUCUCUUUCAAAUAGAGAGAGAUGGGACUGGGAGGUAGUGCACCUGAUUGAGCAUACAUUACAAAUUGCAAGGCCUGGGUUCAAG